AGCUCACCCUCCGUGGGCUACACCCACUGUCCAACCAGCCCCAGUGAGAUGAACCAGGUACUGCAGUUGGAAAUGCAGAAAUCACCUGUCUUCUGCGUCAAUCACACUGGAAGUUGCAGACCACAGCUGUUCCUAUUCGGCCACCUUGUCCUAUCUUACCUUGCCUUUUUAAAAGGAAUUUUAUAUCAUCUACUUAAUGAGGGAAAACUCAUCUUUAGAGAAGAAUGCCAAUGAAGGAGUGAUAAUAUUUGAAAUUUACUAAUUUGCAACUCCCAAUGAACUAAUUGAUUCAGGCAAGGAUCUUUAAUAGUAAAAGAUUAUUGCAAAACAGGUUAUCCACACAGUUACAAAGCAUCACAGAACAUGUCACUUCCUAAUUGUAAAAAGUGCAAAGGAGAGAUCUGGCAGUCACCACUUUAACCAAGUGAUCGAACUUACAAUUACUAAUAUGGGACAAGUUUGUAUUAUGUUCCUCCUGAUGGGGUACAGAAGAAAUUCAUGAAAUCAUUUAUGAAGUAUUCUUGCCAAAAGGGCUUAACCUGAAUCUAAGUAAGCUUUUACACAGGCCUAACCUGUGUAAAAUAGGAGUUACAGGGAAUCAAAGAAAUAUCAAAUUACAAAGAAACCUGCAGAAGAAUCUGAAUUUGAGAUAUUCUAUAUAACAACUAUUUUUUUUAUUCCUCCAAAAGUCAUUUUCAUGGGGGGAGAAGGACUGGGGGAGCUGUCCCAGGUUAAAAGAGACUAAAAGGCCAUAACGACCAAAUACAUGAACCUCAAAGGACUCUUAGCUUGAAAAAUACAGCUAAAAUUUUUAGAAACAUUUAGGGAAAACCUGAAUAUGAGCAUAUAUUAAAUAACAUGGAUAUUAUAUGAUAUUAAGGAACUAAUAUUAAUUUUAUUAGAAAUGAUAAUGACAUUGUGGUUAUGCAUAAGAAAAUUCUUAUUUUUAGGAGAUGCUAUUUAAUUAUUUAUUUAUUUAUUUAUUUUGAAGCAGGGUCUCACUUUUUCACCCAGGCUGGAGUACAGUGGCACAAACAUGACUCACUCCAGCCUCAACCUCCUGGGCUCAAGCAAUCCUUCUACCUCAGUCUCCCAAGUAGCUGGGACUACAGGUGCAUGUCAGCACACCUGGCUAAUUCUUUUCUUUUUAAAUCUGCAAAGUGUUACUAAGUACCAUAGUCCCUCGCCUUUGGAAAUACCAUGACUUUUUGGGUCACCAGCUGUGUUUUAUAUA
rnacentral:lncRNA from 1 species